rnacentral:piRNA from 1 species
UGAAAUCGUAAUUUCUUCUGG